rnacentral:lncRNA from 1 species
UUUCAUAGUGCUGGAAGGUGCUCUGUAGGCUUGCUGGGGGGAAAGACAUCAACAUUCUCACCCAGCUGUGAACCCUGCAUACUAUAAUAAGGACCAGCUCAGCCAGAUGUGCUCCUCAGUGCAAAGAUGAAAUGAAUGCUAUUCCAUUUAAGGCCUGUUCCUCAAGGUGGAAGUCAACUGGGACAAGAACCCAUGGCAUGUGCAGCUCUCAACCAUCUUGCAGCAGAUAUGAAGAAUACAGGACUAGAACACUCAGCUCUAAAGGCAGCACCUGCAUUACCAGUCCCCAGUCUCCCCUAGA